UACAUGCAAGUCGUACGCUUCUUUUUCCACCGGAGCUUGCUCCACCGGAAAAAGAAGAGUGGCGAACGGGUGAGUAACACGUGGGUAACCUGCCCAUCAGAAGGGGAUAACACUUGGAAACAGGUGCUAAUACCGUAUAACAAUCGAAACCGCAUGGUUUUGAUUUGAAAGGCGCUUUCGGGUGUCGCUGAUGGAUGGACCCGCGGUGCAUUAGCUAGUUGGUGAGGUAACGGCUCACCAAGGCCACGAUGCAUAGCCGACCUGAGAGGGUGAUCGGCCACAUUGGGACUGAGACACGGCCCAAACUCCUACGGGAGGCAGCAGUAGGGAAUCUUCGGCAAUGGACGAAAGUCUGACCGAGCAACGCCGCGUGAGUGAAGAAGGUUUUCGGAUCGUAAAACUCUGUUGUUAGAGAAGAACAAGGAUGAGAGUAACUGUUCAUCCCUUGACGGUAUCUAACCAGAAAGCCACGGCUAACUACGUGCCAGCAGCCGCGGUAAUACGUAGGUGGCAAGCGUUGUCCGGAUUUAUUGGGCGUAAAGCGAGCGCAGGCGGUUUCUUAAGUCUGAUGUGAAAGCCCCCGGCUCAACCGGGGAGGGUCAUUGGAAACUGGGAGACUUGAGUGCAGAAGAGGAGAGUGGAAUUCCAUGUGUAGCGGUGAAAUGCGUAGAUAUAUGGAGGAACACCAGUGGCGAAGGCGGCUCUCUGGUCUGUAACUGACGCUGAGGCUCGAAAGCGUGGGGAGCAAACAGGAUUAGAUACCCUGGUAGUCCACGCCGUAAACGAUGAGUGCUAAGUGUUGGAGGGUUUCCGCCCUUCAGUGCUGCAGCUAACGCAUUAAGCACUCCGCCUGGGGAGUACGACCGCAAGGUUGAAACUCAAAGGAAUUGACGGGGGCCCGCACAAGCGGUGGAGCAUGUGGUUUAAUUC
rnacentral:rRNA from 1 species